UACAGAGGGGGCAAGCGUUAUUCGGAAUUAUUGGGCGUAAAGGGCGCGUAGGCGGCUUUGCAAGUGACGGGUGAAAUCCCUCGGCUUAACCGAGGAACUGCCUGUCAGACUGCAUGGCUUGAGACCAGGAGAGGUGAGUGGAAUUCCCAGUGUAGCGGUGAAAUGCGUAGAUAUUGGGAGGAACACCAGUGGCGAAGGCGGCUCACUGGACUGGUACUGACGCUGAGACGCGAAAGCGUGGGGAGCAAACAGG
rnacentral:rRNA from 1 species